rnacentral:rRNA from 1 species
GAUGAACGCUAGCUACAGGCUUAACACAUGCAAGUCGCGGGGCAGCAUGGGGGUUGCUUGCCAUCCCCGAUGGCGACCGGCGCACGGGUGAGUAACGCGUAUUCAACCUGCCCUUCACCACGGGAUAACCCGGCGAAAGUCGGACUAAUACCGUAUGUUGUCCAUUGACGGCAUCCGAUUUGGACGAAAGGCUUGGCGGUGAGGGAUGGGGAUGCGUCCGAUUAGCCAGACGGCGGGGUAACGGCCCACCGUGGCUACGAUCGGUAGGGGUUCUGAGAGGAAGGUCCCCCACACUGGAACUGAGACACGGUCCAGACUCCUACGGGAGGCAGCAGUGAGGAAUAUUGGUCAAUGGGCGUAAGCCUGAACCAGCCAAGUAGCGUGCAGGAUGACGGCCCUAUGGGUUGUAAACUGCUUUUAUGCGGGGAUAAAGUGGCCCACGGGCGGGCUUUUGCAGGUACCGCAUGAAUAAGGACCGGCUAAUUCCGUG